GCUCCAAAAUAGCUUCUUAGAAAGUUGCAAUUUGAUUUUGAAAAUUGCACCAGACAUUAAUACUACUACUUUUCAUAAGUCAAAAGUUAAAAAAAGCUACUUCUAGAGUUUCCCAAACGGGUUAGUCUUUUUUGCUGCAAUUCAUAUGCUAAUUCUUAGAAUUCAUAGUGACAGGAGGCCAAUUGAAACAGAAGCUUCCAAACCACUACCCAAACAUUUUAAGGUUGAAUUCGGAAUGUUAAGACAGAAAAUAAAUAAAUAAAUAAAGGAUAAGAAAAAGUUGGUUGUCAAGUGCACAUUUUAUUUUUAUAUGCCGGCACACAUUUUUUUAUUUUAGUAAAUUUAAAAUUAAGUUUUUUAAAUUUAAGAAAACCUGUUGUGCUUCAAGUGUAAGCAAGUAAAUCUCAUAUCAGUAAACUUGGAUUAAAUAAAGUAUAUAUUUAAAAGAUUAAUAAACCCAUUGCACCAGAGUUUUCCCUCCCUAGUCAUAUGAAGUAAUCCUCAGCUGUAUUGUAACAACUGUCUCACAUCUAAUUUACAACUAACAUAGUUAUAUUUCAAUUGUUUGCUGCUCUAUCUAAACGAAGUUCACAACAACACUGUCUUACCUAUUCUCAACAUGGUUUUUGAAAGACUCAUUUCUUUUGCUGUUCUUUUUCUAUUUGACAUUUGCCAGUUUCUUGCUUAGAAUAAAAACAUAGAUGAUAAUAAUAAUAAUAACAGGAGAGUAAAUAGUCAAAUACAAUGUUACUUUUUCAUUUUCAUAUAUUUAUUGUUAAAAUGAUUAUCUUAUUGGUCAAUAUAUUGUGGCUAUCAUAAGCUAAUAUAUUUUUCGUUCUUGCUGAUGAUUCUAUUUAACCUUUCAGUUACUUGUCUCACACAUAUCAGUUACUAUGUUAGCUUAAUUAUUGCUAAUAAACAAGUGAAAUGUUGAUAAUUUCCAUAUUUCAUUCCUUUUAUUGAAAUUGCAUCUUUAGGGUCUUGCCAACAACUUGUAUCUUGAUUUUGAUAAUCUAAGUCAUAUUUUUCCUCAAUGUUCAUUACAGUAUUCUUAAUGUAAAUCUUGCGAUUUCAUCUGAUUUUUCGCAUGUUCUGAUUAUAAGAUGAUAAAUUCACCAUGAACUAAAUGUUCCCUAGAAAGAUAGAGGCCUACAACUCAUAAUGGGGAACUCAGGACAUUAUAUAUGAAGAGAAGAGUGAUAGGUAGAUUUCCAAGUAAUAAGAAAGAUAAUUCUGUUGGCCUGAAUUUUUUUUUUCUAUAAACAAAGUUAAGAUAUAUUGAUUUUAAAGGCCUUACAUAAAGGAUAAUAAGCCUAGUGGUGAAAUUACAACGAAAUAAGUUUUAGAUUGAAAUGUAAAUUCAGCUUUGUGUUUGACUGUUUUGGUUCUACUUUCUGUUUUGCAAGAGUUUUCUGUUUUCUGUUUACUUGCCCUUCUUAGCUUCUGUUAGGUGUUAUCUGCUAUAAAUAGAAAGCCUUGAUAGAUUGUAACAGAUUGGUUCCAUAUUGAAAACAGUUGAGGAAGUUCAGUAUUUGCUUCCCUUUCUUCUUUCACAAUCAUCUUCCUCAUCUUCAAUUAGUGUUUAUAUGAUUCUGCAUAAUUUAACAGUGGACCUCAAAGGGUCCGUAGCAGCAACAGGAUUUGGGCUUCCCAACAAAACCAAAAAGAAAUAAAUUAAUACACAAAAUUACCAACAUAAUAUAUAUACAUACAUAUACACUUUCCUAGAGUAGAAUUACAUAGAUUAGUCUUGUGACCAUGUCCGUGUGAAUGUUAUAACAUGAAGCUUUUUCUUGUCUUUUUUUUUAAUUAGUUCUUUUGAAUUGUUUACACCACCUUAUGAAGGUGGGUUUCGACACUUACCAAAAAACAUAAAAGAGUAGCGUAUAAUAUAAUAUAGAGGCUUAUUGUUGAUGAUAAUGCAUUUUUUUUUUAAAUGAGACAAAUUGAGGAGGAGAGAAAGAAAGAAGAGAGAGUUGACUUUUUCCACUAUUUAAUAAUUAGCUAGCCAUGUGAGAACUGAGGAAUAUAUAAAAUAAAUAGAGAUAAUAUUCUGCACAUGGAGUAACGUGAUUUUGUGAUUAUGCUAUCGGUAUGCCCAACUACUAUAUUGUUUAUUUAAUUACUUGUAUAUAUUUUGUUGAGCUAUGAACGUAAUUGGUAUCACCUAAUUUAUGCGUCUGAUUUUUUCAAUUAAUUAUUAUACAAUAUUCAGCAUUGUAACAAAUGUCUUAGCACUACUCGGCAAAGAACGUUGUUAGUGCACUGUGAACCUUAAACACUUGAGAUCCCCUGUGCUUGAGAAGUACAUCUACAUUUAACAGUCUAGCUCCAACAAUUUUCCUAAUUACCUUACAAUCCUUCUUUCUUUUUCUCUUUGUUGUGAUCGCAUCAUCUCCUGAAUUUGGGGUUGAUCAUGGCUGCAAAACUUGUGGGUGGAGCCUAUCUCUCUUCCUUUGUUGAUGCUGUUUUGAAUAAACUGUCUGAUGUCAAGUCAACCCCAAUUGCAACGAAGUUAGCCGACCAGAAGUUUCUUCGAAGGCUGAGGGCAUGUCUCCGUGCCGUUCGACCUGUGCUUGAUGAUGCAGAGCAGAAGCAGAUCAGAGACCAAGAAGUCAAUAAAUGGCUUGUGGAUCUCCAAGAUGCUCUCUAUUUGGCUGAUGACUUGUUGGAUGAACUCUCCACUAAAGCUGCCACUGCCACUCCUACUCAAAGUGAUCCAGGUAACUCAUCUUACCAUUAUCAUUAUGCUGUUGAUUCAGUGGUGGAAUAUAGUGAUGGUGAUGAGAUAAGGAUAGUAGAGAGCAUGCAAGACAUAGUUGAUAAACUAGAGUCUAUCGUUGAGGAGAAAGAUGAUCUUGGUCUAAAACAAGAGCUUGUCGAAGAUCCAAAAGACAUGUCAUGGAGAAUUCAAUCAUCCCUGGUUGAAUCUUCUGAUAUAUAUGGCAGGAACGAUGACAAAGAGGCAAUCAUAAAAUUGUUGUUAGACGACACUUGCGAUGAUAAAUUGUCUGUGAUCUCUAUAGAAGGUAUUGGUGGAAUUGGAAAGACUACUUUGGCUCAGUUGGUUUACAACGAUGCCAGAGUGAAGGAGAAGUUUGCCAUUAAAGCAUGGGUGUGUGUUGCUACUAGAUUUGAUCCUAUUAGUGUUUCAAAGGCUAUAAUAGAGGAAAUAACUUCUCUUUGUAACAUGGUUAACUUGAAUUCACUUCAAACUCAAUUGAAGGAAAAGUUAACACAGAAGACAUUCUUAGUUGUCUUAGAUGAUGUUUGGGAUAAUCAGCAAAAUUUGUGGGACAAUUUUCUAAAACCAUUUUUGAGUGGGAAUAAAGGAAGUAAAAUUCUCUUAACUACUCGCAAUAAAAAUGUUGAUUCUGUAGUGUCAAAUACAAAUCUACAUUACAAACUAGAUAUAUUGUCUCCCAAUGAUUGUUGGUCAUUAUUUUUGAAACAUUCAUCUCUUUCUACUAAUUCUAGACAAUAUGUAAUCCUAGAAAAAAUUGGUAAAAAAAUUGUUGAAAAGUGUAAGGGAUUACCUUUGGCUUUAAAGACACUUGGGGGUUUAUUGUGCAAGAAGAAAAAUGAGGAAUAUUGGGAGACGACACUGAAAAGUGAAAUUUGGGAGCUUCCGGAAGACAAGAGUGAGAUUGUUCCUGCAUUAAGAGUUAGUUAUCACUAUCUUCCUUCACAUUUAAAGCGGUGCUUUGUUUAUUGCUCAUUAUACCCUGAAGAUUAUCAAUUUGACAAAGACGAAUUAAUUUUGUUGUGGAUGGCUGAAGAUUUGGUACAACCAAUAGAAAAUUACACAUUAGAAAAUAUUGGUUGUGCAUAUUUUGAUGAAUUAGUUGCAAGGUCAUUUUUUCAGUCUUCUAGUAAAAAUGUUAGCUUAUUUGUAAUGCAUGAUCUCAUGCAUGAUUUAGCAACAUUCUUUGCUGGAAAGUUCUAUUUCAGUGUUAGAGAAUUUGGAGACCGACAAAAAAUUUGCAGCAAAACUCGUCAUUUGUCAUAUAUGGUAAAUCCUCGUGAUCCAAUAUUAAGACUUGAAGAGGCCUAUAAGGGAGCAAUACAUAUGAGAACUUUUUUAGAUGUACAUUUUUCUCAUCAGCCUUAUGGUUCAAUUAAGUUAGAAAGUGAUUUUUGGCUCUUCCAGUUACAUAUGAGGUGUUUAAGAGUUUUGUCAUUUAAAUCUUUUUCUAUUGAGUCAUUGCCGGAUUCAAUAGGUGAGUUGAUCCAUUUGCAUUAUUUGGAUCUCUCGUACACACCUAUUUUGACAUUGCCUGAGUCGUUGUGUAAAGUAUACAAUCUUCAAACGUUGAAGUUGAGGUAUUGUGAUAAGCUAGCGAUGCUUCCAAGCCGCAUACAGGAACUUGUGAACCUGCGUCAUCUUGAUAUCAGAGGCACUUAUUGUUUGAAAGAGAUGUCGAAGGGAAUGAGCAAGUUAAAGCAUCUGAACUUGUUAAGUGAUUAUAUUGUGGGAAAGCAUGAGGAGAACGGGAUAAGAGAAUUGGGAGCACUUGACAAUCUUCAUGGCUCACUUUCCAUCUCCAAGUUAGAGAAUGUCAACAACAGCCGCGAAGCUUUGGAGGCAAAGAUGGGUAAGAAGAAGCACGUCAUCAUUUUAGACUUGAAAUGGCGUAGAGAAGGUGAUAUUGUUGAUGUUGAAACUGCAAGAGAUAUACUUGAGGAAUUACAACCUCACCGAAACUUGAAAGAGUUAUCAAUUGAUGGUUAUAGGGGUGGAAUAUUCCCCGAUUGGUUGGGCCUUUCUUCCUACUCCAAUGUAACCAUAUUGACUCUAAAUCGUUGCAAGAAUUGCCGUCAGGUUCCUUCACUGGGACAGUUACCCUCUCUGCAGUAUCUGGAGAUAUUGGGACUUGAAGGGUUGGAGAGAAUUGGUGGUGAGUUUUACAACAACGCUGAAUCAUCUCAUCAGGGGACACCCUUCAGGUCUCUUCUAAGUCUGAGAUUUGAUAAAAUGCAUCGCUGGAGAGAGUGGCAUAUUCCUGAUGAGAUUGAUGUAUUUCCGAAACUUGAAAACCUUUCAAUACGUGAUUGUCCGGUGUUAAGUGGAGAUCUGCCUGCUCACCUUCCAGUUCUGGAGCAACUUAGCAUUGUUGGAUGCGAAAAGCUUGCAUGUUCACUGCCGAGAGCUCCCAAGCUUCACCAAUUAACUGUAAAGGGUUCUGGGUUCUACAGGAAUGCGGCACCGCAUGAGGUAUUAAUUAAAGAAACCCAGCUGGCGAAGUCCGCACUAGAGUGCCUGUCCCACAUCCAAUCGCCGUGUUUCCAGGAUUUGGAAAUCCAUGAGUGUAGGUCAGCAAUAUCAAUUUCAGGAGAUUAUUUGCCCGAUUCAUUACAAUUUCUGAGAAUCUGGGAUUGUUCAAAAUUAACAUUCUCAGAGCCACUGCAACACAAGUCUCUAACGCAGAUAGACGUGACCCGGUGUGGUUCACUGACGUUGUUGCCAUUGGGGGCCCUUCCAAAUCUCAAGAAACUCUCAAUCUCAAAAUGCCUCCAUUUAGUAUCAGUGCCGGAGCUAGGCUUUGCUGCGCCCCACCUAGAGGAACUGUAUAUGCGGGAUUGCCCAGAAAUGGAUUGUUUUGGAAAGGAGUGCCUCCCGCCGAGCUUGACAACUCUUUGGAUCAAUAAUUGCGAGAAACUAGAGAGGUGGAUAACAUCAAAGGGUUUGCAGAGUGAAGGCCUUACCCAUCUUAUGCUUCAUAAAUGGAAUGAAGUUAAGUCAUUCCCAAGAGAGGGUUGCCUUCCUUCUUCCCUCCAGUCUCUACAAUUGUGGUCCUUUUCAAAUCUGGAGACGCUAGACUGCAAGGGCCUUCACCAACUCUCCUUCCUCCAAAAAUUAACAAUUGAAUACUGUCGAAAGCUGGAGAAUAUCACACAAGAAAACCUGCCUUCCUCCAUAUCAGAACUCCUCAUCAGGGGAGAAUGUCCUUUGAGAAGUAAGCUGGAAGAGAUGAACGACCCACGGAUUCAAUUCGACACAGUCUAGGAGGAUCAGUUUUGUUGAUUCUGAUUUUCCACCAUUUCUGCAACAUGCAAGGAUUCUGUCAAUAUGUUAUUGGUUCAUUUCGUGAAUCUCAGGGACUAUCUGGGGUUUAACUUGGUGGAGGGAAGACUGAAGAGUCAAUAUUAAUACAUGGCUGAGGCAAGUUGAGAAUUGGGGUGCACUGAUAUCAAAGAGCCUAAAAUUGUAAGAAAUUCGUAGAUAUCACAAUGCAUGCAUUCAUUGAAAACCAGUGCUCAUUGUAAAUGGCCUCCAGAUUUAUGUUGAAUUCAUCUAUUUUAAAUGGAUAAUUGCAAUAGAAUUUCUCAUCGCUAGUUUAGAAGUCAUAACAUGCAAAACUUCAGUUCCCAUGCUGUGGUGCAAAAAUUAAAUUGAUUGAAUAUAUUAUAUAAGCAAAUGUUCUAGCUCCAUUGCUUGAUGCUUUCGUCUUUUAUAGAACAAUGUUCUCCUUGAUAAUCUGGCAGCAUUGUGCAUCACUAUGCUUCCUCUUAUAAUACAAAUCCAUUUUUGUUCUAUACAGGUUUCUCAUUACUCAGAUUGGGAAAUUCAAUAUACAUUUCUUUUCUGGAAUUGCUAAAUCUAUGACUGGGACUGCCCUUCAUUCAAGCUUCAUGAUCAAACACCUCAGGUUCCCAAUUUUUUUUUCUCUGACUGGCUAGGCUGCAUUCCACUGAAAGCCUCUUCCAUACAUCACGGCCUACAAAGUUUUCUUUUGUUGAAGGAGGUUUGCUGCCUAACUUGAUGGAGCUUUGUAUUAGAGAAUGUGAAAAACUAAUUAACCCCCUAUUCUGUAUUAUAUAGUAAGUCAGGGUGUAAGUUUCUGUUUUAAGCUUCCUGUUUGAGUCUGUUUUGGAAUUCUUUCUUUAUAGGCUAGUUCCGUCACAUAUACAAGGUUCCCCUUUGUAUCUUGUGUGUAAUCAAUGAAACUCUUUCUUUCUUCACAUAUUUUGUCCUAGCCUAAGUUAAUAAUUUUAGACA